UCCAAAACAUCUGUCUGGCCCUGGGACGUUCUUCUCGUCUAGUCCUGUAUUAGAUAAUUCGGAGUUAGUCAGAACUGCACUAGCUAAGUCACUCUAUAAGUGUAUUCUUCCUGCAUGAGAUGUAAACGAAACCCAGUUAAAGUGAGAGUUGGGCAAUAAAAGACCGUAUAUAAAGCACACAAGCUCAUGAGCUCCAGUGUUACUGUGAGAUAACUUUCACACACCGUAAUGGGGUGGACAGAGAAUCUCCUGAUUUGUUCUUUCUUUGUGUCAGUUUACCUGCUGACACAGGCUGAAUGUGGUCCUGUAAAUUCAGACUCAGCUAGGAUUGUGGAAAAAAUUGUGGCUCAUAGGGAUUUCAUAAGAGAAAGACGAGACGGAGAGGUAUGGCUGUUUUUCAAUCUUUGUUGUUUUUUUUGUUUGUUUUUACCAUUGCAUUUUCAAUUUACAUGCAUACACUUUUAAAUAUACUUGAUGUUGUUUUUUUAAAUAAAAUCAUUAUCUUUCUCUAAUCUACUAAGUACUGUUCAGGUAUGUGAAUUAUAUUUUUCCUCAUUAUAUUUUAUUCAAAACCAUUUAAUUCAGAUAUUAAACACAGAUAUUAAAAUUAGAGUCUUAUAUGAAAAUGUGGCGUUUCAACUUCAGCCAGUUCAACCAUGGUUUACAUUCUAGUAAAACAUUUUACAACUUCAUUAGAAGAGACUAUGUUUAGAUUAUCUAUACUUCUUUAGACCUCCAAAAGGGUCUUGAUAACAUGAAGAUUAAAUGUAAGGAUGCAUAUAAAAUAGCAAAGGACAAUAUCGAGGGUCUUAAAAGCCAACUGGAUGGUCUUUUUAAACAAGUCAGUACAACCCAGAAUCCAGCCAAGGAUGUCUUAAACAUUCUUCAGAAAGUCGUUGACCUACAGGAGAUGGAUGCAAUAUUAAACACUGAGAGAGAUGCAGCAAAGAUUGAAAGACUAGACAAGCGUCGGAGGGAAGCAGAGAGAGACUUAGCAGAGAUGAAAACAGGAUUUUCAGGAAGUGUUGAAAUUUUCGAGCGGGCAGUCUCGAAGAUAAACGCAGAGAUGUUGAAAAGCGAUAAGGCGACA